AACCUUCAGAGUCCUUCUUUACUAAAUUGAAACAGUUGUUAUCGAAGUCUUAUUUAUGUGUCAGACUCUCAACUGAGUCCUUAACUUCCUUUUGGUGAGCUAAAUAGUCGUAGUUAAUGGGCUUUCUCAUAGACGAUGUUUAUUUUCCAGGUAACUGAUUAGCAGUGUUCCAGCUACACUUCCUGAAAUGAAGUGUUAAGGUGCAACACAUGCUAGGACUGUGGCAUAGUUAAGGAAAAGGUGCUUUCCUUGAGUCAGGAUGACAAAAUCAGUUUUGGAGACCAGCAAAGCAGAACUAUGAUUUGCCAUCAAAAAAUAAGCUGGGAAUGAACAUACCAGCAAAAUGUUUCUGUCUCACAACUGCUAACUGAGAGUGGCCGUAUGCAAAAAUGACUGGACCAUGAUCCAUGUAGAGGUUUAUGCAGCCAGAAUAUUGGUGUAACUCCUUUUGGACUCAACAGGCUACCUAGUGGCUUAACCUACUACUGAAGGUCAGGAGAAUACAAUUCAUCUUCCACAAUGCCUGGAUAUCACCAGCUGCACUUCUGGAGAUAUCCUGGAAAAUGAAACUGUGAGAACAUUCCGAGCAGUUGGGAUUAUUAUCUUUGACAAGAUUCUCUUGACAAUACACAAACCUUUGUGCACGUAUCACUGUAAUAACCAAUAAAAAUCACAAGUCCCCCUUGGGACUGCUCUGCGUGCUGUGCACAGUAUUUCAGAUGGACUGGCAAUAUGAGGAUUCAGCACUACAAUGAAAACUAACUCAUUUAGUUUCUCACCCACAUUUUCAGUUUAAGCCUUCUUUGUAACUUUGAAUGUUAUUUUCUUACUUUUGGAGAAAGGUUUCUCAUGUACCCUCCUAACAUAACACCUAGCCCUGGAAGAUGCACUGUACUGUACAUCCCUCUGUGGGUAAAAUAGGUUAUUUUCUGAGUCAGUGUUUCUGGUUCAGUAAGUCACAUAACUGAAAACAUUUUCUUAUUUAUAAUUCUUGCUAGAAUUACGCUGUGGAAACAAUGGUUGUAUAUAAUGCUUAAGACAAUUGUUAAGACUGUGCAAGACUAAUUGAUUACAGGAUCAGACAGUACACUCAGAGCAUUGGGUUUUCCCCAAUAUAAGAACCUUUAUUCAAAUUAGAAGUGGACUUGAACAGGCAGUGCUAGCCCUUGAAAUCAGGUUCUGUGUCCUCCAUCACACUGCUGCUGGUUUGUGUCUAAGCCUUGUACACUGGGAGUGCUGUGAGGAAUGACCACAUGCCUAUGGCAUAAUUUCCUGAUGGAGACAUGAUCAGAAAGUAUAAGAAAAAACUGAAAAAACAUUAAGAAGAUUAGUGGCUGCUUUAGAAAUAAUCAAUUUGAGAAGGUAAGCAUAUUGUUUUGAUUAGAGGGCCAGACCUACAAAAAACAGUGAGACAAAUAAGGGAGUGAAGAACACUGCAGAAGGGAAGGAGAAGAAAUUUUGGGUCGUUACUGCAGAGGGCUUUUAUUCUCAUUAGUAUUAGGGGUUGGUAUUGUUUUCAGCUAUGAAGGUAAUUUAGAUUGUACUGAUCUUAUAUCACUGAGACAAGGAGCUGGACAGAUUCUGCAGAAGAGAAAUGUGUGACUCAUGGAAAGAGUAACUAUGAAGAACUUGCCCAACUUGAACUCUUGCUUAUAGGGAUUUUAUUUACCCCUGGGGGAGGGUGAAGUUUUCCAGCUUGGCACAGAGCUAAACUACUUUACCAGUGAGAGAGAGAACGUGAAGCCUCAUUUGCUGAGAAGAUAAGCUUUCAUGAUACAGGCUAACAUGUUCUGGAGAUUAUUGCACGGCCAGAGAGGAAGAAGAAGCUUUAAAGCUUGGGGGGGUUUAGCUGUGAACAUUAGCUAAUGAAGUAAUCAACACACUAGAUAGUCACAUUAACUCUUUUUCAUUCAAUACACAAGAGAAACUAUGAAACAUUUAUUUACAGCAGGCACACGUAACAAAAAAUGAGAAAUUCUCCCUGCUUUGAGGAUCCCUAGGAUCUCUUUCAACAAUAUGAUACCCAUAUUCUCCUUCACUAAAUGCUCCUUAGAGAAUUCACUCAAAACUAUUUUAUGAUUUUUAUUUGUAAUGUGAAUAAUAAGCUACCUGUCUGGUGACAUAAUUAUGGGCACUUAAAAUUAGCUGUGGAAACAUCUGGAAAGAAAGAGAGAAAGGAGAAACUCCACCCCCACUUCCCUGAUGUGAUGAUCACAGCUCUUAAUAGCAACCUAAAACAUGUAUAAGUUAAAAAACUUACCAGUUUCUCCAGAACAGGGCAGAAUUUAAUCCUCAGGCACAGCCUGCCUGAAAAGUUGGAGAUCACAGAGACAAGUUGAGAUUUGGAUGCAGAAUCAAAACAAACACUUUUAAUAGGUGAGUUAUAGAUAUGGAUCCUCUUUUUUUCUUUCUUUACAAACCCUACAUCAAAUUGUGAGGAAAUACUGAAAGUGUUUUUGUUAAUAUUUUAUUCAGCAUAACUAUUUGUAAAAUGACUUUGUUCUACCUAAUUGUAUUGUCAAGUAACUGAGAUCCUCUCUGCAAGAAAAAUGAAUCCUAAAUUCUUUCAGAGGGAAAAAGCCCACCAAAAGGUAGCAGGUGUGAAAGUUCAAUUUAUUAAUCCUAUCUUUGAGAAGAGCUAAAUCAAUUAGUAUAAAUUUAUUCUAGUCUUCAAAAGAUACCUGAUAAUAGCUGACAAGAAAAGCCUGAAGAACUGUACAAUUUUGGCUUGGAAAAGCUGCUUUAAAUGUUGAAACACUGAAGAUGAAAAUGUCAGUACUUGAUGAAUUGAACUGUAAAGAAUCACAAGAGAUUCCCGCAGACCCUGAAAACAUUAUGUAUUGUAUCUUUCACACAACUGGCAAACACUCAAAAAAACCACUGGUGUUUUUGCCAGUCAGUGCUAAGGACUUACACAUGGUCUUUGUUCAGGUUUUCUUGACUGGAGAGGCUUUCUCUCAAUUUAAAUUGUUGGCAGUCAUAAUUUCUGAUUUUCAUAAUUGCAGUUGCCUUUAAAACAACUCUGGAAAUCAUCAAACUGGAGCAGAAUUCUGAUCGUUGUCAGCCUACAACCUCCACAGAAAAUGGGGGACAACACAGGUUAGUUCAGCUUUGAAGGAAUAAAGGUACUACUUGAUUUUAGGUCAGAGGUGGACAUCAAUGUGCUUUGAACAGGAACAGAGGAGAAGCUUCUGUGCAGAGGUAGAUCUUUCCUUUUAUCUUCAGAUUACUUCCUUUCAGUUCAAGAUUGUACCUACACUGAUUGGUCAAAACUGUGGACCUUGAAAAUGCUACACUUGUUUCGGAAGAAAAGGAUAGGAAUCUGCUCCCUUUACUUUUUUCUUUUUUUCAGAAAAUUUUAAACUUUAAUAUGAACAAAACACUAGGAUCCUGAACUAGAGGAUUCAAAAUUUUUGUGUGCUGCUGGCUAAAAGUCGACACAAGCAAAAUGAGAAAAAGAGGCUGCAUAAGCUGAAAGUUCAUGUUACACAUGCCUGCUUUCCUGGAUGACCCUGUUCUAGACAGAUAAUGGUUCCUCUCUUUACAGCCCACCUACGUGUGACUCCAACAAGAAUCUCACUCACAGACAGCAUAUUUAGCACUGAGGCACAUCUUUCAGAGGUUUUUUCUCUGCUGGGAAUGCUGAUGUGUAGAGCUGAAAGACUCUCUGCUUGCUGCUCGUGUGUGCUGCCUGUGAUCCUACAUUGCCCUGCAGAUGUGUGUAUUCCAACGAUCCAGCCUGCAGAUGUGCAGCUUUUGGACCCCGCCUGCUUUUGUGCGCUGAAGGCUGGCGGGGAGAGCUCAGCGAGCCUGUGCCGGGACAUGGAGCCGCACUGGGAGAAGGGAGGGAGGGAAGGCUCUGGCUGCCCCUCGGGUGGCUGCGGGGCAGCGCAGCGGAGCUGCGGUCCGGGACUCACGGCAGUGUCGGAGCCGGGGCCGUGCCCGUCGUGGACCACAAGCCCUCUGCUGUUUGGAUUCCUCUGCUGCUGCUUCAGGGAAGCGUGGUAAAUUGCCAUGGCAGGUUUGAAACAAUCUGUAUAUAGGCUUAUCAUAAAUCCAGCUCUUAAGGGAGGAUAAAAAUCUAUGAUUUUCAUAAUCAUGCCUUUUUUCUUUUUUUCUUAGGCUCAGGUGAACACUGCAAAAUGACUAUAAUCAGAGAAAGGUUCUAGUCGAGUAGUCACUCACAUCACCUCGAUCUGGCUAAUUAGAGACCAUGUUUUUAGAGACCUCAUCAGCUAAGCCUCUUUGCUGUAAGCUAGACUGAAUUUGUAUUUUCUGAAUGCAGGUGCUGAGCUGUCUCUCUGCAGUACUAUUAUGUUAUAACCUGCCUUGUGGCAAGAUCAGUUCAGACUGUGCCUGGUGUCAUCUGUGAACCCAGGUGUUUAGCCUUUUCCUGGGGUCUGCUCAUCCCUUCUGGUAUGUCCUAGCUCUCCAAGUAAAUCUCCUUCUCACCUGUAGCCUACACCAGGAAGCCUUCUACAUUAUUACCCUGCAGGCUUGCUUUCUUGAAACUGGUUUCUGAACCACCCAAAAUGGGCAGCAGCUGUGCCUGUUUCCACCUGAGGCUGCUUGUUAGGCAUGUUGCCACACCUCAUCACAGAUGCAAAUGGUAACUGAGGGUGGAGGAGACCCUCAAACUUCAGCCCAGGGUCGGUGUUCAAGCAUCCUAAUGCAAAACACAGACAUGCUGUAGACUGACAUUAAACAUCUCUGCAGACAUGUCUUGCUAUUGGACGAAAAGUGAUGGAAAUGGAAGUCCAGCAUUUUAUUUCCUACCUACUUUAAAAAACGAGAGGAGAAAAAAAAGCUUGUAAUUUUCAUUCCGUCACCUUCCAGCACAAACCUUGAAAGAACAGCAGACAGAGAACCUAUACACACACUCCCAACCUCUAACAUUGGUGCGCUGGGAGCUGCUCCAAGUGCAUCAUUAGAAGUAGUAUUCUGUCCUUUUUUUAAUUCAGGGCGCCAGGAUCUGCUGCUCCGUGUGCCCAGCUGGUCCUUAAAACUUUGCUUACCCUGACAGUCAAGCUCAGGUGCUAAAGCAGGGCUGGGUUCCUGCCUCUGUGAUAUGCAAAACAAGGUUAAAUUGGACAGUAGAUACCCAGGCUGUCAGAGAGGAAGACCAAACACAGACAAAGCUGUGAGAACAUUAUCUUUCAGGCUAUUCAGCAGCUGCUGCAGGGCUAAUCAUGGCUGGUGUUCCCAUGAGCAAUGGCUCCUCUUUACAUAGUUUCAUACUUCUGUCUGCUUCACUUCCACUGAUUUGCUGGUCUGCCUAGCUUAUGUACAAUUAUGAAAACUUUAAGACAUUCUUCAACACUAAUUGAAGUCAGAAGCAGCUUUAUUUUACACAGAUUCUUUUUCCUUCAGCUUUCAUAAAUCUGAGCAGCACACAGUGCAAUACUGAAAAAUCAGGGUCCAUAGCUGAAGUUUAUUUUUGUAGAGGUUAGUAUUCUUGGCAUACAACAUAGUCACACUGUGAGAGUUUUCAAAUAUUAGUUAUAAUAUUUACUUUGCUUUUGUGAAUAAUAUGUUAGUUUAAACAUGUCUUCUCCUAAGGUAAAGUGACAUAACUGUAUGUAUUUUCCUUUUUUUGUGGUCCUUUCCACCUAAUUUCCUCUGCAGUUUAUUUAUUUUCAGUGUACAUGGGAUUGUACAAAGAAAUAAGCAAUUGUAAGGAAUAGUGUGGUAAAAAAGUUCUAUAGGUAUUUUAAUUGUUUUGUAAACAAGAUAUAUUUAUUUCCUUGAGGGGAAGAAUAAUUGCAACAGCACAGGCAGAGAUUUUCAUAUCUUGAAAAAAAUCUUGUAUUUUUGAAUCAGUUAAUCUCUGUAUGUGAGGAUAACUGUGAAACUGCCAAAUAUUCUAGAAGGGAUUUCUGCUAAUUUGGUAAAAUGGAAUUCAAGACUAUGCAAAUCCACACAACUUCUUUUACUACAUCUAUUGUCAGUAACUUAUAAAGAAGCCUACUCCUACUUGCCUUAAGGGUGUAUUUUGCUGGAUAUGGUGGUGGUCAGUGGUGACAGACUGGCAUCAGACUUCUGUGGAAUGGAUCCAACUUUCAGUGUGACUUAAUGCAAGAAAAAGUCCUUAUUGCAGUCUCUUUUGGUAGUAGUCAGAGUGGGAAUGAUGAGCCCUACUGUCACUAUCAUUACUUUGUCUUCUUUUCUCAUCCAGACUUGUGGCUCUGGAAUAUCUGCAUGCUAAUCUGUCUGUUUCAGAAACUGAGUGCCACACAGGAUCUGUACUGCUCCAAUAUGUGAAUUCAUAUAAUGGACCAAGCUCAUCAUAAAAAUUCCUUGGCACCUGGAAAGUCAAUCUGCUUCAGGACAUGACUCCAGUCAGAAGAGCCAGCAGGAUUUAUCACCUGGGCUGCACGUACAGUGCCUCACGCAGCAGAGCCCUGAUUGCAGUGGCAGUGGGAGAGUGGCCUUGGGAGAUGAUGAGCUCUUUCAGAGAGGGUGCUCGGGAAGGCACAUUCAUGCAUCUUGGAUUCAGCAAAUCCAAGCAGAGGGAGGCAGAAAGUUGGUUACCCAAGGUAAGGUAGUGUGAGUCUGGAAUCACUGGGACGUGCCAAGUAUGGUUAUUAGAGAUCUCCAAAUCACAAGGAAGGUCAGCAGUAGUGGAUGGGUACAGCAAAGCUCAGCUGCUUCCUUCCAAAGCCUCACACAUCUAUCCAGGCCUAGUCUGAGUUCCUUGGAUGUGAGUGUGCCUGCAUGAAUAGAGUGAGCAGGACUUGUCCUUUUGUGAAACAUUAUUAAUUAUAUUUUUACUGUAGUAACACUCAGGAACAGUUGAGGCCUCAGGAUAUUAGUACAAACUGUAGAGUAAUUACAGUUUCUGCCUGAAGGAACAAACAACAAUCAGGGUUGGAAGGUACAGUUCUGAUUGAAAAAUAGCAUGCAGAAAUGACACUUAGAUCUACAUGGUCUUACUCCGCACAGCACAUAUGUAUUCAGAGUCACAUGUGCUAUAUACUUUAGUAACAUAAUAAACACCAAUUACUCUUUUUUCCUACUCUGAUGACAGACAGUUAGACUAAGCUGUUUUCUUUUGUUCAAAAGAAAUACUCUCCACAUUAGAGUCAUGUUACCUGUGCAGAGCUAUGGCUAAAGGUGUAAUUUAGACGGCAAAAUACAGAACUUUUUUCAGAUAAUUGUAUAGUACAGAAAAGGAAAAGAGCAAAUCCAGGUCUCCAGCUGAUUCUCAGCUUACAAGAAAUUACAGACUGCUUUUCCUCCUUUAGCUCAAAAGAAGUUUAAAGUAAUAUAACUGAAGCUAAUGGAGCUACAGUACUGUAAAAGUUUUCUUAAAUAGCCAAAAUUGAGGUGAAGUACAGCAUUCAACCUUGUCAAACUCUAAUGUUAAAUGUGAGCUCCCAACCCAGCUUACAAGCCAAGACAUGAUGCCUGGUGGAUCUAUGAGAUCAGCAGGGCCAUUUAGUGAGCCUGGACACAUCAAUGGCUGCUGAUCUUUCAACUUACUGCCUGGCUAAUGUGGACAUGGAGUCACAGGGAGAUGUGGUGGCACUGUGAUGCUUAUUCCUGGCUCAACAAUCACCUGUGCUCAGAUGACUUCACCCUCAGCUCAACUGCACAUCCUCACUGACGCAUCCUGCAGAGGUCCCUGCCUUGCCCUGCGAGCCUGUGCAUCAAACACAUCCUCCAUGAGAUACAGGGCAACAGCUGCUAGGUGAAAAGAAUGGUGGAGAUCUGACUGCUGCUUUGACAGCUCAAAACAAUUGUCCUUCCUCAUUCAAAUCAUGGGACUGACCCAAAGUCAUGACAGUUGAGCAAAAACAUAUAUGGCAGUUUAGUUCUUCCUUUUAUUUUGGUUUGAAUAAUGCUGGUUUGGUUCUUCUUGUAGAUACUCACACUCUCAAACUCGCUUCUCCCCUGUCCAUUAAGCCUUUAAACCUUGAAGCAGUCCUGCCAUCUCAUCAGGGCAGCAGCUCUGCCUCCCACAUCUGUCCUGCUCCCAGUUUUCCAGCCAGUUCUGCCCUUCUCAGCCUCAGCCUCACCCUUACAGCAGAGCAUCCAGAGAUCUGCCCCUCUGGUGGGUGGUGUACAGAGUAAAGAACUUAUGUUUCCUUAUGUCCACCCUUUAGUCACAAACCACAGAGGACAAGAACAGAAACAGUGCAAACUGCUUUUCCAACUCUUCUUCGAAAGAGGGCUGUGCCUGAAAGGUGGUGUGAGACAAGAAUUCCUGUUUGUCACUGCUAACUCAAGUCAGUGUCUUUUCCACAGGAGGAGGAAGCCAGAGCAGGUUUCCCACAAGCAGUGACACCAUUUACUAAAGAAUCCUCAGAAUGUUAGCAGUCACCUGGCUUGAUUUUAAAAGGCCAACAUCUGGCUGUUUUCUGCAGGAUGAAUUUUUUGUCCUUUGGAAGCAGAAACUACACGUGAAGAAAUUUGGAGCUGAGAUUUAGUCUGCAGUGGUAGUUCACUGAAAGUCCUCUUUUAGCUGUUAAAACUUCUGUGGCCAACCUGAUGUGUCACUGCAGCCAAACGUGGUUCCUAACAUACAAGACCUUGUGGAGAAGAAGGAAGGGGAGGGAGGGAGGAAGCAAAACCAGACAGACAAAUGAAAAAGUGUGGAUUUCCUUGCUAGAAGAAAAAAAAAAAAGAGAGAACACUGAAAAUCAGAUCUGUCAUGUAAAUUUGUGAGGAGUGCUUGACCUCUAGCAAUUAAUUUCAGAUAACAUUAAAUAUUUUUUCAAGAAUGUUUUUAUACCUCAGUGAUUCUAUGCAAGGCAUCCACCUUUGUGGAUAUAUUUCCCUUGAGGUUCCUUACCAUUUGCUGUACAGUAGCCACUAAUACACCACAUUUGCCCCCUGCUUGACAUGACUUAAACCUCACAUUUCUUAAAAGCAACUGGCUUCUGCUGUGGAAUGAUGCAGUUUUUGCCCUCUGUUCAACAAACCCAGCCACACACAGAGCUGUGAUCUCAUUCUGGAAAACUUCUGAAGGAUAGUGGCCUUGAGCAGAGCAACAGUCCUGAGUACCACAUCAGUUUCUCUUCAUUUACUCAGUCCUCACCUCCCCACACUGGUUUCAAGGUGUUUUUUUGCUUCCUAAAUACUGUAAAAACAUAUAGCAUAGCUGGGAUUCACAGUAAUCAACCUUUGGAAAGAUGAACAGUUCCUUUGCUGAGAAUGUCUUCCAAGUUAAAAGGACAAUAGAUGUGUAUGUUUGCUAUGAGAAGAGGCAGUGGUCUCACUGCUAAUUUCCAGUUACCUUAAAACUGGGGCUGUGAAACUUUUAGGCUUUAUCUCAGUUUUUCUCUGAAGCACCACAGAGUUUCAUUCUCAUUUAACCCACUGUGGAUUUAGAAUACCCAAAUACUUGUGGCAUUUUCUUUUCAAACACUGGGUUUCAAUUCAGACCACGGGAGGCACAGGAGCAGAAGCCUUUAACAUUGAUGUGGAUCCCAUACAGUGUAACUACAGCAAGCUACAAACUCUCAUCUAUUUAAAACAUCUAUUUAUUUUUGAGCAGUUUAAAAUAGAUGAGAACUAAAGAGGAAGGGACCGUUGUGCUCCUAACACUGGCUUUUGCCUAGAAUCGAGUCAAUGUAAAAGCCUCCUGCUCCCCUUGCCGGCUGUGUAGCUGCGCCAAGAGCAUUUAAGAGCAAAAUCUCGUCAGUUUGGAGCCGGGGUCAGUGUCCUUAAAGCUUUGGAAAAGAGCAGAGGAGAACCCUGGGAGGAGGACCUGAAUUCCAAGCUAUUGGAUUUGCAAACUGAUUCUCCACGAAGUUGCUUGGAAAGAACUCGGACACAUCAGCUUCUGAGUAUUUUAAAAGAUGUAACCUUCGGGUUAUUUUGUGAACUUUGUUUUUUUGUUUACAGUGCUAAAGGGUGAGAUUGGUUAAGACAUACUGGAGAAAAGCGUGGGCAGUUUUCUUAUAUUUAAUUACGAGUGUACAAUUGUGGUUUGUAUUUCAUUCUUUACUAAUACAUACUGCUUUAUGAACAUAAAGAAAAACAAGGGAAAAUACGGUCCCACUGUGCUUACCUUUAACACGUGUAAGCGCUUUCAUCGAGUCCCCACCUACAGAGCGAAGCACGUAUAUUACGCUUUUGGGGCUGUAGAACCUCACCUCCAUUGAAACACAACAGAAAGGUUCAGCUGCCGCCGAAGCACAGGUACGCUGCCCCAGCAGCUCGGGCAGCUGUGCGGGCCGGGCCCGGGCAGGCAGGCAGUCGGAGCCCCGAGGUUCACACAGGUAUUUCCGAGGCGGCCCCAGGACCCGCGGGCACCUGGCCCC